AAGGAGAAAGUGAAGCUGGUAUUACAGUAUAUGAAGACGUGAACACUGAUGGCGCUGCAAAGAAACGAUCUGAAAGUGUUGUAAACGGGAUGACCAUUUAUGAAACGGUGGAUGACACAAAACUCUCACAAAUCUUGCCUCAAACCCUGUACGACAAAAUCAGCUUUCAGCGUCACCCUGAGGUCAGCACCAGCACUUCCUCCCCUUACCAGGAAGUCCUGUGAGAGAGACACAGACAGACGGUCCGUGUAAUGUUUUGUCCUCUUAUCUCUGGAUAUCCAUAUGCAUUAUUGGCUGCAGCAGUUGACCUUUGAACUCUCGCAUUAAAUGUGCUGUGUAUUUUAAUGUAUUACGUUGACACUUUUUUAUGAAUAUUUUUUUUUUUUUUUUUUUGCAUAUGCAGAAUUCACAAUGCAACACAGUAUUACAUCAUUCAAAAAGUUGAAUUGGGCUCAGUAAGAUUCUUUUUUGAAAGAAGUAUUUUAUGCUCAGCAAGGCUG